rnacentral:rRNA from 1 species
UACGUAGGGGGCAAGCGUUGUCCGGAAUUAUUGGGCGUAAAGAGCGUGUAGGCGGUCCGGUAAGUCAGCUGUGAAAGUCAAGGGCUCAACCCUUGAAUGCCGGUUGAUACUGUCGGGCUAGAGUCCGGAAGAGGCGAGUGGAAUUCCCGGUGUAGCGGUGAAAUGCGCAGAUAUCGGGAGGAACACCAAUGGCGAAGGCAGAUCUCUGGGCCGUAACUGACGCUGAGGAGCGAAAGCAUGGGGAGCGAACAGG